UUGUCCUACGGGGCGCAGCAGUGAGGAAUAUUGGUCAAUGGACGCAAGUCUGAACCAGCCAUGCCGCGUGCAGGAUGACGGCUCUAUGAGUUGUAAACUGCUUUUGUACGAGGGUAAACCCCGAUACGUGUAUCGGGUUGAAAGUAUCGUACGAAUAAGGAUCGGCUAACUCCGUGCCAGCAGCCGCGGUAAUACGUAGGGAGCAAGCGUUAUCCGGAAUUAUUGGGUGUAAAGGGUGCGUAGACGGGACAGCAAGUUAGUUGUGAAAGCCCUCGGCUUAACUGAGGAACUGCAACUAAAACUAU
rnacentral:rRNA from 1 species